AGACCCGAAACCCGGUGAUCUAGCCAUGGGCAGGUUGAAGGUUGGGUAACACUAACUGGAGGACCGAACCGACUAAUGUUGAAAAAUUAGCGGAUGACCUGUGGCUGGGGGUGAAAGGCCAAUCAAACCGGGAGAUAGCUGGUUCUCCCCGAAAGCUAUUUAGGUAGCGCCUCGUGAAUUCAUCUCCGGGGGUAGAGCACUGUUUCGGCUAGGGGGCCAUCCCGGCUUACCAACCCGAUGCAAACUGCGAAUACCGGAGAAUGUUAUCACGGGAGACACACGGCGGGUGCUAACGUCCGUCGUGAAGAGGGAAACAACCCAGACCGCCAGCUAAGGUCCCAAAGUCAUGGUUAAGUGGGAAACGAUGUGGGAAGGCCCAGACAGCCAGGAUGUUGGCUUAGAAGCAGCCAUCAUUUAAAGAAAGCGUAAUAGCUCACUGGUCGAGUCGGCCUGCGCGGAAGAUGUAACGGGGCUAAACCAUGCACCGAAGCUGCGGCAGCGAACGUAUCACCCAAGACA
rnacentral:rRNA from 3 species